AGAGCGCUAUUAGUUCACGGGACAAUCGGAUCGAGGAUCGCCCUCAUUUCUAUUCACGUUAUGUCUAUCGGCUAAAGUCUUCAGCACGAUGAUUUUGAUAUUACCAUAAAACAAUAAUUUCAUGAUACGAUAUACAAUAAUAAUUGAAUGAAAUAAUAAACAAUGAUAUCUCGCGAACCUUUCAAUAAUAAAAUGGAUAGAAUUGUAUUCGGAUUAACUUUGUUAAUAAUUUGCUCGAGUAUCGAUGAUGCAACAGGAACGUGCGUUCACGUGGAAAACGAUGAUAUGUUGGAAUAUUCGUGUGUCGGAGGACGUCCUGACGAUUUACUUUCUAUACCAUCAGAAACGGAAAAGAUUCGUAUAAGACAAAUGGAAAUUCCUGUUAUAACUGGUGAUAUGUUUUCACGAUUCAAUAAUCUUUGGGUUUUGGGAUGUUCGCGAUGUAACAUCAUGGAUAUUGAACCUAAUGCUUUUCAAUCUUUGGUCAAUCUUCAACAAUUGAGUUUAGACGAUAAUCAUUUGAAAACUGUCAAAGGAUCUUGGUUCAAAGGCUUGGAAUAUUUGACUUAUUUGGAUUUAAAUUAUAACGAGAUAACGACAAUCGAAGACGAAGUGUAUGAAAAUCUGCCGAGUCUUAUUGAUUUUCGAUUGUCCGGUAAUCGGUUCGAAUGUUUGAACAGUCAAGCUAUGGAAAACUUGUCGAAUUUAAAAAGAAUAUUUCUCAGUGAAAAUCCUGAGUUCAAGUGUCCGAACGCUAUCAGCAAGUUUCUCGAUGCUCGUGGCAUUAGUUUUGAUAAAGAUUCACAAUGGAAGGAUUUUGAUGAAGUUUCUGUCGAUAGCAUGGUUGUAAAUCAUCAAACGGAAACUUCAACGGAUUGGUCGUCAAUGCCAGAUCAUCGUAAGAGAUUACAUUUUCCUACAGUUGUUCCAACAACAACAACAACAACAACUGAAGAAAUGAGAGAACCUGAACGUACCUCACCAAUGCUUGAAACAACACAUUAUCCAUUGUAUGCUCCCGUGAGGGUCACCAUUACUUCCGAUCAUAAUGAAGGAAUAUCUCAAUUAUUUCCAUCGGUUGAUUAUUCUGCAAUUAUCACUACGACUGAUAAACCGGAAGUACCACAAUAUCCACCAACAAUCGCUGAUCCUUAUCUUCCUGUUAUGACAACGGAACAACCUUCUAGAUAUUCAUCAACGAAACCUUGGCGAAUUGUCACAGAAAACGAUAAUGAAUAUCUCGAACCAUUAGAUUAUUCCGAGGAAUAUUUCAAUCCAACUAGGACAACGUUUCCAUUUGAUACAAGGCCAAUUAAUCGAGAAACUAUGCCUCCUAUGUUAGAUCCAAGAAAUAUCUUAUCCACUCAACCACCUGAAUAUUGGACGCAAAAUGGUAUACUCAUAGAAUCGAAUUAUCCACUUCCUAAUCCAUCUUUUGGCCCGGAGCUCGCAGAAAAUGAUAUUGAAAAGAUCAAAAUGAAAGAUAUUGUUUUCACGAAUAGACAACAAGUAAUACCACCAGAAAUUGUUCAACCUGCAGCACCUAGCGAUUUGCAUCAAGUACCUAAUAACGAACCAACUGUGACCAUACAAGGACCAUUACAACCGUCAAUUGUACCAAAUAACGAACAAAAUACACAACAAUCAUCAAUGACAGUAGUAGAAACUACUACUACAGACAAACCGUUUCCUCAGUGUCCACCAAGUUCAUCGAUAUCUGUUGAACUUACACCUUUUCUUAUCUUUCUCACUUUUAUUUUGAAUAUCAUCGUGCUGAGAUUUUAGCUGAUGGACAUUUGCCAUGAACGAUUUAACAUUAGUUCAAUACGACAAACGUGCACACAACAUCGCAUUGACUUCUAUUCGUAUUUAUCGUACUAUAAUUAUUAUUAUUAUUAUUAUUAUCAUCAGUAAUUAUUAUUAUUAUUAUUACUAUUAUGUAUGAGCCGAUAAUGUAAUAAGAACUUUGUACACGAGAGAGUUCAAAUAAGCCGCGUUAAGCAUUUAUGAGGUCACGAUCGGCAUCCAUCGUAUAUUUAGUUUUCUAUUUUCUAAUUAUGUCAAUCAAAUCUUAAUUGUUCAAACUCCUCGUUUAUUAAUUGAACAAGACAAGAACCAGAGUCACAAUUGCUGGGCCAAAGAAGCCAUGGAGGCUGAACGAUUGAACAAAAUGCAACAAAUAGAAGAUGAAGAAAAUGCAGCUGCU